rnacentral:rRNA from 1 species
UGGGGAAUCUUAGACAAUGGGCGCAAGCCUGAUCCAGCCAUGCCGCGUGAGUGACGACGGCCUUAGGGUUGUAAAACUCUUUCGCUAGGGAAGAUAAUGACGGUACCUAGUAAAGAAGCCCCGGCUAACUCCGUGCCAGCAGCCGCGGUAAUACGGAGGGGGCUAGCGUUGUUCGGAAUCACUGGGCGUAAAGCGCGCGUAGGCGGGCUGGUCAGUUGAGGGUGAAAUCCCGGGGCUUAACCUCGGAACUGCCUUCAAUACUGCCAGUCUUGAGUUCGAGAGAGGUGAGUGGAAUUCCUAGUGUAGAGGUGAAAUUCGUAGAUAUUAGGAAGAACACCAGUGGCGAAGGCGGCUCACUGGCUCGAUACUGACGCUGAGGUGCGAAAGUGUGGGGAGCAAACAGGAUUAGAUACCCCCGUAGUCC